AAAAAAAUUUGAGUCGACAGCCCAUGCAGUUGCGAGAUUAGAUUCUCGGCGUCAGGCUGAGUAACACGUGGAUCAUUUACCUUAAGGCGGGGAAUAACCUCGGGAAACUGAGGAUACCCUCCCAUAGGCAACGGAUACUGGAAUGUUCCAUUGCCGAAAGCUCCGGCGCCUUAGGAUGAGUCCGCGGCAGAUUAGGUAGUUGGUAGGGUAAUGGCCUACCAAGCCAGUGAUCUGUAGGGGCCGUGAGAGCGGGAGCCCCCAGACGGGAACUGAGACAAGGUCCCGAGCCCUACGGGGUGCAGCAGGCGCGCAACCUCCGCAAUGCCCGCAAGGGUGACGGGGGGACUCCAAGUGCUUCAGAUUUAUCUGGAGCUUUUCUGAAGCGUAAAUAACUUCAGGAAUAAAGGCUGGGUAAGACCGGUGCCAGCCGCCGCGGUAACACCGGCGGCCUUAGUGGUGGCCACUUUUAUUGGGCCUAAAGCGUUCGUAGCCGGGGGCACAAGUCUCUAUGUAAAUCAGGCGGCUUAACCGUCUGAAUUGUAGUGAUACUGUGUCCCUUGGAGCUGGGAGGAGGCAUGAGUACUCCAGGGGUAAGGGUGGAAUCUACUGAUCCCUGGGGGACUACCUGUGGCGAAGGCGCAUGCCUAGAACAGACUCGACGGUGAGGGACGAAACCCUGGGGAGCGAACGGGAUUAGAUACCCCGGUAGUCCAGGGCGUAAACGAUGCCCGCUUGGUGUUGCGCACUCUACGAGGGUGUGCAGGGCCGUAUUGUAGAUGUUUAGCGGGCCCCCUGGGGAGUAUGGUCGCAAGGCUGAAAUUCAAAGGAAUUGACGGAA
rnacentral:rRNA from 1 species